CGGACGGGUGAGUAAUGUCUGGGAAACUGCCCGAUGGAGGGGGAUAACUACUGGGAAACGUAGCUAAUACCGCAUAACGUCGCAAGACCAAAGAGGGGACCUUCGGGCCUCUUGCCAUCGGAUGUGCCCAGAUGGGAUUAGCUAGUAGGUGGGGUAACGGCUCACCUAGGCGACGAUCCCUAGCUGGUCUGAGAGGAUGACCAGCCACACUGGAACUGAGACACGGUCCAG
rnacentral:rRNA from 1 species